CAGGAUCAACUGACUGUUUUGCUGGACUUGCUCGCUAAAAGCUUUCUAAGCCUCACAAAAGACAUCUGUCUGACAAUGGAUAGACAUGUCCUUCAAAUGACUCAGGUUGUAGAAAAACCUUCCAUCAAGACCUUGGCAAAAUCCAGGAUGUUUUGCUGAAAAACACCACCAGAAGUAUUCACCGGUCUCAAGGUCACAGCUUCAAAUUUUCUUCCAUGAAGGUCAGCAUUUCAACUAGAUCUUUGAAGCUACUUAACUCCAGAUCCAAUGCCUGGGAAGCUGCACACACCACACCUUCCCCCCACCC